GGGGGUGUCAGUGGCCCGCACCGUCAUGUUGGACGAAUCCCUCAUCACCGUGACCUCGGUUAUUGCGACAGGGUACGGAUCUUCGACGUCUCGAAACCGUUGUGGGGACGACGCGCCGUGGGUUCAAUUCCCACCACCUCCA
rnacentral:tRNA from 1 species